rnacentral:rRNA from 1 species
UGGAAUCGCGCGGACUUCAGAGAUUAGAGUUUGAUCCUGGCUCAGAUUGAACGCUGGCGGCGUGCUUUACACAUGCAAGUCGAACGGCAGCACGGACUUCGGUCUGGUGGCGAGUGGCGAACGGGUGAGUAAUACAUCGGAACGUACCUUUUAGUUGGGGAUAACGCAUCGAAAGAUGUGCUAAUACCGAAUAAUCUCUGCGGAGGAAAGGCGGGGCUCCAGCAAUGGACCUGUCGCUGAAAGAGCGGCCGAUGGCUGAUUAGCUAGUUGGUGGGGUAAAGGCCUACCAAGGCGAUGAUCAGUAGCUGUUCUGAGAGGAAGAUCAGCCACACUGGGACUGAGACACGGCCCAGACUCCUACGGGAGGCAGCAGUAGGGAAUUUUGGACAAUGGGGGCAACCCUGAUCCAGCAACGCCGCGUGAAUGAAGAAGGCCUUAGGGUUGUAAAGUUCUUUUGUCAGGGAGCAAAGUCUGGUUGUUAAUAGCAACUGGAGCUGAGAGUACCUGAAGAAUAAGCACCGGCUAACUACGUGCCAGCAGCCGCGGUAAUACGUAGGGUGCGAGCGUUAAUCGGAAUUACUGGGCGUAAAGCGUGCGCAGGCGGAUAUGUAAGUUAGAAGUGAAAUCCCCGGGCUCAAUCUGGGAACUGCUUUUAAGACUGCAAAUCUAGAGUUUGUCAGAGGGGGGUGGAAUUUCAAGUGUAGCAGUGAAAUGCGUAGAGAUUUGAAGGAACACCGAUGGCGAAGGCAGCCCCCUGGGAUAAAACUGACGCUCAUGUACGAAAGCGUGGGUAGCAAACAGGAUUAGAUACCCUGGUAGUCCACGCCCUAAACGAUGUCUACUUGCUGUUGGGGGUAACCUUAGUAGCGAAGCUAACGCGAGAAGUAGACCGCCUGGGGAGUACGGUCGCAAGAUUAAAACUCAAAGGAAUUGACGGGGACCCGCACAAGCGGUGGAUGAUGUGGAUUAAUUCGAUGCAACGCGAAAAACCUUACCUGCUCUUGACAUGCUAGGAAGACCGCAGAGAUGG